rnacentral:tRNA from 1 species
UCCUCCGUGGCGCAAUAGGCAGCGCGUCUGACUGUUAAUCAGGAGGUUGGAAGUUCGAACCUUCCCGGGGGAG